GGAGCCGGGCGGGAGGGCGAGGGCUGGUGCGAGGAGGAUGCGCGGGGAGUGGGGCAGCCCCAGGGCCCCGCCUCUGCAGCGGAUUUGCCGGGUUUGUUUAACAGUCAGUGUCUUCAGGGCUGCAGAGAACGGAGGCGAUCGGGACACGUCAGGCCCUGGGCUGAGCUGGCCGUGAAUGUAGCUGAGCAGAAUGACUGGCUGCGCCUUCACACGCCCCAUUUUGCAUCAGUCUUAACCAUUUACGCUUACCAAGUGCGUUUCCCCUUCUCCAAUACAGAGUGAAGUUUUGAAAGCAACUCCGUUGUGCUAGUGCGUGAUUGCCAAGGAAAAGGUUUGGAGCGGAAAUGGAACUCUAAAGAUUAAUAUUGAGGAAGCUGCACUGAACAUGAUGAAAGGAAGAUGUCUGGACAUGCAGUAUCUUCAGGAGAAUCCAGGAUUCUGAAGACUAUCCACCUUCAAGAUCACCAUCAUCUUCU